UACGGAGGGUGCAAGCGUUAUCCGGAUUUACUGGGUUUAAAGGGUGUGUAGGCGGGCUUUUAAGUCAGUGGUGAAAUCUCCGGGCUCAACCUGGAAACUGCCAUUGAUACUAUUAGUCUUGAAUUUUGUUGAGGUGGGCGGAAUAAGUCAUGUAGCGGUGAAAUGCAUAGAUAUGACUUAGAACACCAAUUGCGAAGGCAGCUCACUAAGCAAACAUUGACGCUGAGGCACGAAAGCGUGGGGAUCAAACAGG
rnacentral:rRNA from 1 species